UACGGGGGGGCAAGCGUUGUUCGGAAUUACUGGGCGUAAAGGGUUUGUAGGUGGCUUGCUAAGUCAGACGUGAAAUCCCUCAGCUUAACUGGGGAACUGCGUCUGAUACUGGCGAGCUUGAGUCCGGAAGAGGCGAGUGGAAUUCCCGGUGUAGCGGUGAAAUGCGCAGAUAUCGGGAGGAACACCAAUGGCGAAGGCAGCUCGCUGGGACGUGACUGACGCUGAGACGCGAAAGCGUGGGGAGCAAACAGG
rnacentral:rRNA from 1 species